rnacentral:miRNA from 1 species
CGGGAUGCCGCGGCGGGGACGGCCAUUGGUCCGGAUGUGUGGUGCCACCGGCCGCCGGCUCCG